rnacentral:ncRNA from 1 species
CGUGUGGUGUCCGACGAAUCGAUUCGGAUGGCGACACGGCCUAAAUUGAGGU